rnacentral:tRNA from 1 species
GGGCGAUUAGCUCAGUUGGUAGAGCAUCUUCUUUACACGGAGGGGGUCGGCGGUUCGAGCCCGUCAUCGCCCACCA